CAGCAGCCGCGGGAAUACGGAGGGUGCAAGCGUUAAUCGGAAUUACUGGGCGUAAAGCGCACGCAGGCGGACAGCUUAGUCAGGGGUGAAAGCCCGGGGCUCAACCUCGGAAUUGCCUUUGAUACUGGCUGUCUUGAGUACGGGAGAGGUGAGUGGAACUCCGAGUGUAGAGGUGAAAUUCGUAGAUAUUCGGAAGAACACCAGUGGCGAAGGCGACUCACUGGCCCGUUACUGACGCUGAGGCGCGAAAGCGUGGGGAGCAAACAGGAUUAGAUACCCCAGUAGUCCCUGUCUCUUAUAA
rnacentral:rRNA from 1 species